GAUGAAGAACGUAGCGAAAUGCGAAAAGUAAUGUGAAUUGCAGAAUUCAGUGAAUCAUCGAAUCUUUGAACGCACAUUGCGCCCGCCAGUUUUCUGGCGGGCAUGCCUGUCUGAGCGUCAUUUCAACCCUCACGCCCCUAGGGCGUGGUGUUGGGGAUCGGCCAGCGCCCUCGCGGGCGAGGCCGUCCCCUAAAUCUAGUGGCGGACCCGUCGUGGCCUCCCCUGCGAAGUAGUGAUAUUCCGCAUCGGAGAGCGAUGAGCCCCUGCCGUUAAACCCCCAACUUUCCAAGGUUGACCUCAGAUCAGGUAGGAAUACCCGCUGAACUUAAGCAUAUCAAUAAGCGGAGGA
rnacentral:misc_RNA from 1 species